UACAACAUAAUGUACAGGUUUCUGGUGGAGUUAAACCUUCUGGAUUUGGUUGAGAAUAUGGACAUUAUUUGCUGUCUGAAAAUAUCUAGUAAUGAAAAGUGGAAAUCCUUUGGGUUAGCUUCUGGCGGGAUUGAUUUGUGAAUAAUUAUAGAAGAAGUUGACAUAUUUACAACAUAUGCAAAAUCUGUGUUGCCUUGACAACGAAAACCGAUAGCCGAAUAACGAAGUUAAUUAUUCCAAAUGUGUCUAUUUUUAGAAAUUAUGGCAAUAUUAAAGUCAGCAGUGGUUCGUUAAUUAAGCGGGAGAUUACAUACUGAUGCAAAUCUGUGUCAUUCCUGAACGAAACAUAGGAUAUGGAGAAGCCGUAGGUUCAGACUUAUAUGGGACAGUUGAAUAAUUGGCGAAGCAUUUCAGGUUUCGUCUGCUUCGUUAAUUGCACAGCAUUCUUCUAACCACGCAAUCACUAACAAGACGUCUUUAAUUUUUCGGACGAGCGAACAAUAACAGAUCUGGAACAACUAGCUGAUGGUUGUGUUGAAGAUGAUUGCUUUUUGUAUCUAACCAUCAAAUCUGACAAAUCCCUAGGCUGUGGUAUGGUAGAAUAAGUCUUUAGUAACGUUUCAUCUUUUUCACUUUAUAAUCAUUCCUCUACGUGUGGAUAUUUCACAAAAGUUUACAUUUCAAUCAAAAUGGAAAUGGGACAAAUGUAUCAACAAGACGAUUUGACAAAUUUUGACGACAGUACCGGUGUUUUGAUGUGAAUCGGUCGAUCUUUAGCUUGAGACUGGGCGAUGAUCCACUUUAGAGAAGAGGACAAUAUUCAUGAUAUCCAAAACCCCUGAAGACAGCUUCUUGGAACUUUGUGGAUUGAGAAUUACAAAUCUCAUUUUAAAUUAAGGAGUAUCUAUCAUCAGCUGUUAUCAUCGAAAUAACAUUGAAUUUAUUUAAUGAAAUCAUAUGGAUAUGCAUCUAAUUAUAUAUUGUAUUGAAUUGACAUUUCUCUUAUUAGUUUCUUUAAUAUGUUCUUGUUACAUCAAUAGCAUUUUGGAUUGGAAUAUACAACCUUACCAGUGUCCCUGUUCUUAAAGUGAGAGCUUGGUAAGUGAAACGAAACAAACGUCGAUCUUGUCGAUGAGUUUAAAAUGACCAUCAUCAAAUACAUCAACCAGGGUCUCCUGAAAUAUUCUGUUACAGGUUUGUCUGUCAUUAGUCAGUACAUCAUUUUUGUGUUAAGUUUUUAUCAUUAUCUCGAAAAUUAAACGCGCUAAAUAAUAAUUAUUGACAGUUUCAUUUGACCAAAACCAGGCGAAGGGUUAAAACUUAAUCUUGAAAUCAAACAACAGCAAAAUGAAAGGAUUUCUUAAAUGUAAAUUAAAAUUCUAAACAAACUAUCCAAACUCGUAAAACUACAAACAAUGAAGAUUUAUAUCCUCAUUAGACAAGAAGUCAAGGCCAUAUCUACAGAUUAACAUUAAAGUGUUUGGCAAAUAACUAUACCAAGCACCAAAAUGACACCAGUGCAUGAGGAAACCUUCUGUACUUCUAACCACCAGAAUAUGUCACCCCAUGAUUAAGAUGAGCAACAUCUCUCAAACCAGAUUAAAUGGAAAUUAAAUCAAAUCAUUAAAGUGAGCAUAACAGGA